rnacentral:lncRNA from 1 species
UUUCCCACCAAUACCAUUGUUGACUUCACUGCUCCUAUUCCUCACCAAGAAGAUCCUAAUGGCACCAUUCCUGACAUUUCUCACUUAUCUCCUCUAAAUCUAGAGGACAUCUAACUGUUUGACCAAUUUUUCUAACUAUUCGGAUGAUUGUAAACUUAACUCCCUCAAACCCCUCUCCCCUACUACUACUACUACUGAUUUCAUAUCUUUACUAUUUUU